AGGCAAAGCACCACCAAGCGCUGAGAGAAUCUCCGAGCUGGUGUCACUUGUAAUCACUGGCUUUUCAGGGAACCCAUUUUAUUACGGCUUCUUGAGUUUUCUUUUGUGAAGCCACAGCCAGUCCUUCUUGGCUGACUCCAAGUGUGGUCAGGAAGCAGUGGUAACCCAUGUCUGUCUAUUGCAAGUCUACACUGCCACACAAAGCCUGAGGUACAGCUGCUGCUGCGGGUCUGUUGAUCUGAACUGCUGAUUUGAAGUGGAUUGAGAGGAUGGAACAAUAGAAGGAGGAUAUGGCUCAGGACAGUCAAGUACUGGAAGAGGAAAGGUACAAAGAGGUGUUGGCACUGAAUGACCCUGAACAGGGCUGCACUGGAAAUAUCAGAGAGACAGAGUUUCACCAUGUUGCCCAGCCCAGUCUUGAACUCCUGGACUCAAGCAAUCUUCCCACCUUUGCCUACCAGAGUGCUGGGAUUACAGGUGUGAGCCAUCAUGCUAGUUGCGCACAGUUGGGCGAACUGACAGAUGAGAAAGCAGAACCUCGUGAGUCCCACUCAGUAAGAGACUCCCUACUUUCUUUCUGAGUCUUUGUUUCUCAUCAAUUGAAUGGCAAUAAACAACUUGGUGGCCCAAGAGUUGAUGACAACAGUCCUAUAAGAUUAUACAUGUAAAAGAAACAGAGUAUUCUACAAAUAUCAGUUAUUGAUAGUUCAAUAGGCAACCUGACAUUACCUUUUCUUGGAACUUGAUGAACAACUCAGAAACUCAUUAAUAUCAAACCCAAUGGCACUUCCUUCCCCUUCCACUUCUCUGCCAGGUUAGGAUGCAGCAUGAGGCCCUCACCAGAAGCUGACCAGAUGUGGCUGCCUGAUCUUGAACUUCCCAGUCCCCAGAACCAUGAGCUAAAUAAACCUUUUUUCUCUAUAAAUUACGCAGUCUAGAGUAUUCUAUUAUAGCAACACAAGACAGACUAAGACACAGUGGUAGAAAGAACACUACUGACUUCUCCCAUACUCUGGCCUAUGGACAAGAGUGACAGACAGACAAGAGUGAAUAUCAGGGCCCUCAGGCACAUUCCUCUCUGCCCCUUCCUCCCUUCUUGCAGAGUCUCCAGUGACUGCCAGCCUCAAUGCUAUCAUAGACCCCACCUUUCCCCUGACUUGAUUGGACCAGAAGCAGCCUCCUGAUCCAUGGCCAACAAUCAGAUUCACUUUCAAGAAUUUGAACUAAGAGACACUAGGAAGAUGGCCCUUGAGCUGUGAGUCCUACACUUGAAAGUUCUUAGCAUCUUGGUCAGGUACCCACCAGGGCCAUGUGCAAACUGAGAUAAUGGGGACAUGGAACAAGGGUAAGUGGAGAGGGCUGGCUGGAGAGAGACGGGCAGAGGAAAGCCCUGCCAAGAGGAGCAGAGAUGAGAGACCUUGGAGGGAGAGGUAAUAAAAGGAGGCAAAGAUGAUUUUCCAUGCUUACAACUCACAGCUGAGGCCUAACUAUCUUUAUGUCCAUAAGAGGCAUCCUUGUGUCGAACCUCUCCUCUUUCUUGGGUCAAUGGGGGAUGGUUGCAAGGGACCAUCAGUAGGAAGGCAUAGUACACUAACCCAGUCUGGGGUGGGCUUUUAUACUAGUCUUCCUCCCAUGCUCCUCCUCCCAUUGGAACCCCGGACUUUCAAGACUGCUACCUAGCACACCAGUGCACCAGAUGUCACUCAAAACCUCUUCAGCAAUGGCC
rnacentral:lncRNA from 1 species